AACCUAGCACACCUGCGGUGUGUACCUGCGGAAGGAUCAUUACUGAGUGAGGGCCUUCGGGCUCGACCUCCAACCCAUUGUGAACACAACUUGUUGCUUCGGGGGCGACCCUGCCGUUUCGACGGCGAGCGCCCCCGGAGGCCUUCAAACACUGCAUCUUUGCGUCGGAGUUUAAGUAAAUUAAACAAAACUUUCAACAACGGAUCU
rnacentral:misc_RNA from 1 species